rnacentral:rRNA from 1 species
UACGUAGGUGGCAAGCGUUGUCCGGAUUUACUGGGCGUAAAGAGCGCGCAGGCGGUUGAUUAAGUCGAAUGUGAAAGCCCCCGGCUCAACUGGGGAGGGUCAUUCGAUACUGGUCGACUUGAAGGCAGGAGAGAGAAGUGGAAUUCCCGGUGUAGUGGUGAAAUGCGUAGAUAUCAUGAGGAAUACCAGAGGCGAAGGCGGCUACCUGGACAAUUGCUGACGCUCAGGCACGAAAGCGUGGGGAGCAAAAGGG